GACGAACGCUGGCGGCGUGCUUAACACAUGCAAGUCGAGCGGUAAGGCUCCUUCGGGGGUACACGAGCGGCGAACGGGUGAGUAACACGUGAGUAAUCUGCCCCUGGCUCUGGGAUAAGCAUUAGAAAUGAUGUCUAAUACCGGAUAUGACGCAUCUCCGCAUGGAGUGUGUGUGGAAAGUUUUUUCGGCUAGGGAUGUGGUCGCGGCCUAUCAGCUUGUUGGGGGGGUAAUGGCCUACCAAGGCUUUGACGGGUAACCGGCCUGAGAGGGUGACCGGUCACACUGGGACUGAGACACGGCCCAGACUCCUGCGGGAGGCAGCAGGGGGGAAUAUUGGACAAUGGGCGGAAGCCUGAUCCAGCAACGCCGCGUGAGGGAUGACGGCCUUCGGGUUGUAAACCUCUUUCAGUAGGGACGAAGCGCAAGUGACGGUACCUACAGAAGAAGCACCGGCCAACUACGUGCCAGCCGCCGCCGUAACAC
rnacentral:rRNA from 1 species